ACGUAGGUGGCGAGCGUUGUCCGGAAUUAUUGGGCGUAAAGAGCAUGUAGGCGGUUUUUUAAGUCUGGAGUGAAAAUGCGGGGCUCAACCCCGUAUGGCUCUUGAUACUGGAAGACUUGAGUGCAGGAGAGGAAAGGGGAAUUCCCAGUGUAGCGGUGAAAUGCGUAGAUAUUGGGAGGAACACCAGUGGCGAAGGCGCCUUUCUGGACUGUGUCUGACGCUGAGAUGCGAAAGCCAGGGUAGCGAACGG
rnacentral:rRNA from 1 species